CUGCCAUGGCAGAAACAGAUUCACCACCCCAUGUAGCAAUUUUACCUAGUCCAGGGAUGGGUCAUCUCAUCCCACUCGUUGAGUUAGCCAAGAGACUUGUUCACCAACACAACUUGUCAGUCACCUUCAUCAUUCCGACAGACGGUUCUCCCUCUAAAGCUCAAAGAUCAGUUCUUGGAUCACUCCCUAGCACUAUUCACUCAGUAUUUCUCCCCCCUGUAAAUUUAAGUGACCUCCCUGAAGAUGUCAAGAUUGAAACCUUAAUUAGCCUUACCGUGGCUCGCUCCCUUCCUUCUCUACGUGAUGUUCUUAGUUCUCUAGUCGCCAGUGGUACUAGAGUUGUGGCCUUGGUUGUUGAUCUUUUUGGGACUGAUGCAUUUGAUGUUGCUAGAGAAUUCAAAGCCUCUC
rnacentral:lncRNA from 1 species